CCUACGGGUGGCAGCAGUAGGGAAUUUUCGGCAAUGCUGGUAACCCUGACGGCGCAACGCCGCGUGAACGAAGAAGUUCUUCGUAAUGUAAAGUUCUUUCAACAGGGAAGAAAGAGACAUUUAACGGUACCUGAUGAAUAAGCUCCGGCUAACUACGUACCAGCGGCCGCGGUAAUACGUAGGGAGCGGGCGUUAUCGGGAAUGAUUGGGCUAAAAGGGUGCGUAGAUGGCAUAGUAAGUAUUUGGCAAAAAUGCGGGGCUAAAACUAGUAGGGCAAGAGAUACUGGAAAGCUAGAGUAUGAGAGAGGAAAGUAGAACUACAGGUGUAGCGGUAAAAUGCGUAAAUAUAUGUAAGAACACCAGUGGCGAAGGCGG
rnacentral:rRNA from 1 species